GACGAACGCUGGCGGCGCGUCUAAGACAUGCAAGUCGUGCGAUUAAAGCUCCCUUCGGGGAGUGUAUAAAGCGGCGGACGGGUGAGUAACACGUAGCUAACCUACCCUACGGACUGGGAUAACGGCGCGAAAGUGCCGCUAAUACUGGAUAAGACAUACGGUCUAUCCGACCGUAUGUGAAAGCGGGCUUUGUUCCGCACCGUUGGAGGGGGCUGCGGCCUAUUAGCUUGUUGGUGAGGUAACGGCCCACCAAGGCAACAAUGGGUAGCUGAUCUGAGAGGAUGGUCAGCCACACUGGGACUGAGACACGGCCCAGACUCCUACGGGAGGCUG
rnacentral:rRNA from 1 species